UGGGUUUGCCUGGAAGUGGCGAUGGCCAGU
rnacentral:piRNA from 1 species